rnacentral:sRNA from 1 species
CCUUUGGAGUAUCAUACAAAUCCGAGUAGAGUAUAUAAGAGUAAUCAGUAAUGAUGAGGGUACUCAAAAGGGGAUACGUUGAAAAAGGAA